AGCCUGUUGGUUAACUGUUAUAAUAGGUGUUUUCUGCCCGGUGAAAUUUUAACGGCCGCGGUACUUUGACCGUGCAAAGGUAGCAUAAUCAUUUGCUUCUUAAUUGGGGGCUCGUAUGAAGGAAAGUAUGAAUGUCUAGCUGUCUCCCUCCGAAAAAAGAAUUUUCUGUUGUUGUGAAGAAGCAACAAUGCUAAAAAAAGACAAGAAGACCCUAUCGAGCUUUACCCUAGAAAUUAAAAAAUUGUGAAAAUAUUAAAUAAAUCGCAUAUACUUCUCUGGGUUCCGUUGGGGUGACGAAAAAAGAAAAAAUCUUUUUUAAUAAUAAAACUAUUUUGUUGAAAAAAGAUCGGUUUUUAGCCAUUAUUAGAAAAAGUUACCGUAGGGAUAACAGCGUAAUUUUUUUAGAGAGCCCAUAUCGAAAAAAAAGAUUGCGACCUCGAUGUUGACUUGUCAUUUCCUUUUGGUGUAGCCGCUAUGAGGGUUGGUCUGUUCGACCAUUAAAAUGAU
rnacentral:rRNA from 1 species